AAGCCUGAUCCAGCCAUGCCGCGUGAGUGAAGAAGGCCUUCGGGUUGUAAAGCUCUUUUAGUCGGAAAGAAAGAGUNGNAAUGAAUAAUUGUGAUUUAUGACNGNACCGACAGAAAAAGCACCGGCUAACUACGUGCCAGCAGCCGCGGUAAUACGUAGGGUGCGAGCGUUAAUCGGAAUUACUGGGCGUAAAGGGUGCGCAGGCGGUCUUGCAAGUCAGAUGUGAAAGCCCCGGGCUUAACCUGGGAAUUGCGUUUGAAACUACAAGGCUAGAGUGCAGCAGAGGGGAGUGGAAUUCCAUGUGUAGCAGUGAAAUGCGUAGAGAUGUGGAAGAACACCGAUGGCGAAGGCAGCUCCCUGGGUUGACACUGACGCUCAUGCACGAAAGCGUGGGGAGCAAACAGGAUUAGAUANCCUGGUAGUCCACNCCCUAAACGAUGUCAACUAGUUGUCGGAUCUAAUUAAGGAUUUGGUAACGUAGCUAACGCGUGAAGUUGACCGCCUGGGGGAGUACGGUCGCAAGAUUA
rnacentral:rRNA from 1 species